rnacentral:rRNA from 1 species
AAACUUUCAACAACGGAUCUCUUGGUUCUGGCAUCGAUGAAGAACGCAGCGAAAUGCGAUAAGUAAUGUGAAUUGCAGAAUUCAGUGAAUCAUCGAAUCUUUGAACGCACAUUGCGCCCGCCGGUAUUCCGGCGGGCAUGCCUCUCCGAGCGUCAUUU